UUCUCUCACCUUACUUGGAACGCAGCCUGUGGCUGAAGUACAGAGCCAGAAAUCUGGGGAAGCAGCUUCACUCUUCCAAAGGAAAGAAUUUCCAUCGAGGGCACAGGUCAGAAAGCAGCAGGCAGACCACCAACCUCACGGAGUCGUAGGGAAUGUGCUCAAGUGGAAAAGAUGAGGUGCUCAGCACCGUGCUCUGCACUCAGGAAGCGCUCAGUCGAUACCAUCGAAUGAUUGAACGAUCGAAGCUGCUGCCGCGGAUGGGUCCGGCUCAGAUCCCUAAAUCUUUCAGCCCCAAGGUGACCCCAGGUGAGCGGCCCCAGGAGGACCAGACACCUGCAAGCGCCGCCCCCGCAGAAGCCGCCGAGCCGAGCCACGGAAAGCUGGCCCCGCAGCACCCACCGACGGAGGGCCGGGCCUUCCUCCUCUUCUCAGCGUCCGCCGCCCCUCCCCUCUCCGUCGAUCGAUACCUGGCAUUUAUCCAGCACUAGCUACGUGCGGAGCGCUCUACCGAGCCCUCAGGAGAGUCCGAUCUGAGAGAAUCGGCA